rnacentral:rRNA from 1 species
CUACAGGAUUCCCCUAGUAACGGCGAGUGAAGCGGGAAAAGCUCAAUUUUUAAAUCUCUCGGGUUCCCCGAGCGAAUUGUGGUUUAGAGAAGCGUUUUCUGGGGUCGCUUGAGUGUAAGUCCUCUGGAACGGGGCAUCAGAGAGGGUGAGAAUCCCGUCCUCAACUCUAUGCGCACUCCUCUACGAUACGUCUUCGAAGAGUCGGAUAGCUUGGGAAUGCUGUCCAAAAUGGGUGGUAAAUACCAUCUAAAGCUAAAUAUAGGCGAGAGACCGAUAGCGAACAAGUACCGUGAGGGAAAGAUGAAAAGAACUUUGAAAAGAGAGUUAAACAGUACGUGAAAUUGUCUAAAGGGAAACGCUUGAAAUCAGUCUUGCGCGCCUGAGAUCAGCCAUUCAUCAGGGUGGUGCACUCUCAGUCGUGCGGGUCAGCAUCGGUUUGGAUUGGGGUAAAAGGCUUGAGGACGGCGUUCGCGUCUGCCUGUGAGUGAUGCCCUGAACCAGACCGAGGAACGCAGUCAUGUUAUUGGAGAACCGCUCGCCUCUUUCUUCGCGGAGUCAGACAACUUGUUGACUGUCACUGUUUGCAGAUUGCGCACGGGCGGCUAUCACACCUUGACUUAGGAUGCUGACGAAAUGGUUUUAAACGACCCGUCUUGAAACACGGACCAAGGAGUCCAACACAUAUGCGAGUCUUUGGGUGGCAAACUCAUA